UUUUUAGUAAGACCUUUCAGGUCUUAAGCAGUUAUCCUUUAUUGUUUAUAUCCAGUUAUCAUUGAGAGAUCCUUCUGGAUGGUGGACUGGUAAAAUUGGAUGCAAGGAAGGAUUGUUUCCUAGCAAUUAUGUAGAGGAAAUGUAGCUCUAGACACUUGUAACAAGUUACUGGUGUGUAUUAUGAUAGGCAAACUGAUUUAACAUUUAUUUUUAUUAUGUUCAAUUACUGUUUAAUAGUAAUGUGUGAGCUAGUCUGUUAAGUAAUAAAAGAGUUUGUUUUGUGAAUAUAAAACUAUUUUACACACA